rnacentral:rRNA from 1 species
GUAGGUGGCAAGCGUUGUCCGGAAUUAUUGGGCGUAAAGCGCGCGCAGGCGGUUCUUUAAGUCUGAUGUGAAAGCCCACGGCUCAACCGUGGAGGGUCAUUGGAAACUGGAGAACUUGAGUACAGAAGAGGAAAGCGGAAUUCCACGUGUAGCGGUGAAAUGCGUAGAGAUGUGGAGGAACACCAGUGGCGAAGGCGGCUUUCUGGUCUGUAACUGACGCUGAGGCGCGAAAGCGUGGGGAGCAAACAGGAUUAGAUACCCUGGUAGCCACGCCGUAAACGAUGAGUGCUAAGUGUUAGGGGGGUUUCCGCCCCCCUUAGUGCUGCAGCUAACGCAUUAAGCACUCCGCCUGGGAGUACGGCCGCAAGGCUG